GUCCACUCACCAUGUGGGCCACAUCAUAGAAAAUGUACGUAGAACUACAAAUCUGAUCAAAGAGUGCAUGUGUGACUGGAUUGGAAAUCCAAAAGAGACAUGAUUACAUGCUUAGAACUCAAAACAAUAGAAAAACAAAAGAUAUAGGCACAAAUUUAUGAAUGUCACAGAUUAAUUUAAGGUUUCGAGAACUUACAUCCACCUCACUCUUACUGCCAAGUAGUCCUGAUGAAAAUGCAUCUCUACACUAUAAGAAGG